CCCUAACCGUGCGAAGGUAGCAUAAUCACUUGUUCAUUAAAUGUGGACUAGAAUGAACGGCAUCACGAGGGUUGUACGUCUCCCUACUCCUAUCAAUGAAUCUACUUUCCCCGUGAAGAAUCGGGGAUAUUAAUAUAAGACGAGAANACCCCAUGGAGCUUAAAACCUUUACCAAUUUUUAUAUUUACAUCCUCAAAUAUAGUAAAUUAUGGCUCCCUGGUUUUGGGUUGGGGCGACCAAGGGGAAAAAUAUAACCCCCAUGAUGGACAUAUUUUAAGAACCACACUUCAAAAAACCACUACUAUGGCAUCUCUUGAUCCAAAUCAUUUGAUCAACGAACCAAGUUACCCUGGGGAUAACAGCGCANUCCAUUUCNAAAGCUCCUAUUGACAAAUGGGUUUACGACCUCNAUGUUGGAUCAGGGUAUCCCAGUGGUGCAACCGCUACUAAAGGUUUGUUUGUUCAACAAUUAAAACCCUACGUGAUCUGAGUUCAAAC
rnacentral:rRNA from 1 species